CGUGCCCAGAGGACGGGCUUGUGUGCCAUUAUGCCAAGAGCCUCGCACACUCACCUGCUCUCGCAUCCGGGGAACACGCUCUGCAGGGGGAGGGACCUUUGCAUGGGACCCUCUGCCCUCCUCCCCACCAGUGUCAAGGACAGGAAGCCCCCGCCCUGCCCUCGGGAGCUCACUCUCCGACAGAGCACGUGACUGGUUCCUUCAAGUGCAGUAAUUGUUCAUCGCUUCAUGAAUGCUCCGCAGACAAGGGCCUGUGAUUAGCCUCCACCCCAGGCUCCCUAGGAAGAGAAGGGAGACGGCUGGAGGUGGCUCUGCGCUGAGAACGGAGGUGGUGAGCCUGCAGCCCAGGGCACAAGCCCACCCCAGCCUGCGUCCCAGGAUCCAUGAGAGUUCGGGGCUGCCUCGUCUGCCGGCGAGGAGACAGUGCAUCAGGGGCUCUGACUGGCCCUGUGCUGAGGCCGUUCUGUCCACACACGGGGUGACCUGACCAUGGGGGACACCUGGCACUGACCUGCAGGUCCCGUGUGUGAAAGCCUCUCAUCUCCAGAAGGGCAGGAGCCGUGUAAACACACGCACAGCCACGAGCCCCCCGGGGGGCUUGCACCCUACUACACUCUGUCUUAGGGAGGGGUCACCUGUGAUGUCAGAGCUGGGAAGACACCGACUGAACCAGAGGAUACGGCCCAACAUGUAGAUGCUGAGGGGUGGGGCGGAGCACGGCCUCCUUCAGGCAGGUCUCCUGCAGCUGGGCCUCACCUCACGUAGGGACCCAGGAUGGAGGCACAGAGCUAGGAGCAGGCAGAGAUGCAGGGCAGCCCUGGCAGAGGCCUGACGACCAUCCAAGCAACCACUGCAGGCCUGAGAGGCAGGGCCUCUGGAAGGUCAGCUGGAGAUCUCUCCACCCAGACCAGGCACAGUCCAGACACCGGGACCUGAGUUCUGGGCUGAAGGCCACCUCUAGAGAGAGGAGGUCAAGGGGCAAAGACUGAGGGAGCUCCUGAGGCCAGACACCAGCAGGAGGCAACCCCUGGGGCAUCACAGUAGGUGACAAAUGGCACGGUGACCUGGACACUGGGACCCCUUCCUCCUCCCCUCCCCUGGGUCACCCCAGAGCCCCUCCCUCAGACCCCUCCCCUGGGUCACCCCAG